CUCCGGUGGUGUAAGAUGGAUCCGCGUCUGAUUAGCUAGUUGGUGAGGUAAUGGCUCACCAAGGCGACGAUCAGUAGCCGGCCUGAGAGGGUGAACGGCCACAUUGGGACUGAGACACGGCCCAAACUCCUACGGGAGGCAGCAGUGGGGAAUAUUGCACAAUGGGCGAAAGCCUGAUGCAGCGACGCCGCGUGAGUGAAGAAGUAUUUCGGUACGUAAAGCUCUAUCAGCAAGGAAGAAAAUGACGGUACUUGACUAAGAAGCCCCGGCUAACUACGUGCCAGCAGCCGCGGUAAUACGUAGGGGGCAAGCGUUAUCCGGAUUUACUGGGUGUAAAGGGAGCGUAGACGGUUCUGCAAGUCUGGUGUGAAAGCCCGGGGCUCAACCCCGGGACUGCAUUGGAAACUGUGGAACUAGAGUGCAGGAGAGGUAAGUGGAAUUCCUAGUGUAGCGGUGAAAAUGCGUAGAUAUUAGGAGGAACACCAGUGGC
rnacentral:rRNA from 1 species